UACGAAGGGGGCUAGGCGUUGCUCGGAAUUACUGGGCGUAAAGGGCUCGUAGGCGGCCAACUAAGUCGGAUGUGAAAUCCCCAGGCUUAACCUGGGAACUGCAUCCGAUACUGGAUGGCUUGAAUCCGGGAGAGGGAUGCAGAAUUCCAGGUGUAGCGGUGAAAUGCGUAGAUAUCUGGAGGAAUACCGGUGGCGAAGGCGGUGCUCUGGGCCGGAACUGACGCUGAGGAGCGAAAGCGUGGGGAGCAAACAGG
rnacentral:rRNA from 1 species